rnacentral:lncRNA from 1 species
CCCCGCCAAAUGCAGGCAUGCGCUCUGGCUCAAACCCUGUGCACUGGUGGGACCGCAGGAAGCCAGAACAGAGGAGCGAACUGCUCAUGCGCACGCAGCGAACCUAUAGCCUUCCAGGAGCCCGAAGGGCCCAGAGCAAUAACACAGCCUCCUGGCGCGCCGCUCUGGGCCGCAAUCUAAAGUCUGUCCAGGUCCAAGAUUGGAGCAAUCGAAACACGGCGUUCCAUUCUUGGGCUCCCCAUCCUGGACAUUGCUACCCUCAGGACCAUCAUUAAGGAACAUGGAACUGGAUGUGUGUAUAUGUGUAUCCAAGAAACAAGAAUUGCAAAGAUUUUAACGAUCACCAACAGUAUUGGGACUGCUAAUUGAAGAGGAACUGACAUCAAGCCAAAAAAAAAUUAAAGUCGGUCACCAAUAGGAGUUGAGGUAUCUGAGGAAAAGACACACAGGAGGCAAUGGUACACAGUGGAACGUGUAACCAGGCCACUUUGAACUUGAAGUCUAGUGAAGUUCUCCAGUGACAAAUACUUGACUAAUGUGGAAAUAUAGUCUCAUUUACGCCAAAGACAGAAAGAAAAAUGUCAGACAGUCUCUUCCUAAAGGCCACAGAUGCAACUCCACCUCUUUGUAGCCUGUGAUAAAUAAACAUGUUUGUAUGAGCACGCAUUGGUAUAACAAAGCUUUAGUUCUGGAGCUCUCUCUAGGGCAUCUCUGCAUCCGUGGCUGCCCAGGCAUCCUGCUACUUUGCAUCCAGGAAACCGCAGGCUCUUCCUUGGAGCUGAAAGCCCUAGUCUUCUUCAGAGGGAAAAAUACGUGUAUUGAAUCCAAAAAUGCGUUUAUCACUCUAACAAGGGGUGUCCAAGAGGGAUUAAAGAAAGAUAAUCCUGAAAGAACAGAGCCCAGUGAAGGACCUGUUUUGCUUCUGGAUUUCUGCUGAGGACAAAGUGCUAGUGUUUGUGCGUUUAAUCAAAUCGUCUGACAGCGGACCCCAGAAAUGGAAAACUAACAAAAGCAUGGAAUAAUAAUG